CUGCCAUGGGUCAGAGACGGGCCU
rnacentral:siRNA from 1 species